rnacentral:rRNA from 1 species
GGUAGGGUAACGGCCUACCAAGACUAUGAUCGUUAGCUGGUCUGAUAGGAUGGCCAGCCACACUGGAACUGAGACACGGUCCAGACUCCUACGGGAGGCAGCAGUGGGGAAUCUUG